ensembl:lncRNA
UUUACAUGUAGAAUCGCAUGAACAUUUCCAGCAGACGUUUCCAGCGAGUGGUCCCUGGAAACACAGCCUGAAUGACCGGUAGACGGAUACUAGAUCCACAUUUGGUGCGACGUGUGCGAUCCUUUAAGGCAACCAAUUAGAACAGGAUUGUGAGUUUGCACAUCUUCAUAUAUUCAGAGUACGAUGGCCCGAGGAGGAACAGCCUAGGAGUGUUCAGAAAGAUAAAUUCGGACCUCUUCCCCAAUACAACGUUGGCUGUUGCUGUUGCCACUUUGGCUGUGCCCUGUCUCCUGACGUGCAACCGGAAAGACUCCGCCUGCAGCAACGGGUGUGCAGCGGCGCCCCUCGGCCUCACCCUGCCCGUGGAGAAAGCUGCAGCCACCAUCCAGAACCAGUUCAGG